CUGCCUCUAUGAUGGGGAUAACAGUUGGAAACGACCGCUAAUACCGAAUACGCUCAUGAUGAACUUUAUGAGGAAAGGUGGCCUCUGCUUGCAAGCUAUCGCAUAGAGAUGAGUCCGCGUCCCAUUAGCUAGUUGGUGGGGUAACGGCCUACCAAGGCAACGAUGGGUAGCCGAUCUGAGAGGGUGACCGGCCACAUUGGGACUGAGACACGGCCCAG
rnacentral:rRNA from 1 species